rnacentral:lncRNA from 1 species
AGAUGCGCAAGCAAAGAAAGGAAAUUAUUGAUUGGCUGGAGCUUAGAGCCUAGUUGGCUGGUUGAGAUAGCUUGUCCUUAGGUUUCAAUUUUGUAACCUUGAGGCAUUAUAAGCUUAGAUUUUGGUUUGCUUACCUAGGCCACCAUCUCUUGCAAGGAUCAUCACCGCACGCAGUAAAACCCUGCGCAGAGAAGGGGGUGUGUGAGGAAGAAGCCAGAAGACCGCGCCCCUCCUUCUAGCCUUAAAGGAAGGACUGGAAAAAUCCUUAGAGAUUUUUCAACUAAGUAAAUUGGGAGUUUUCAGGACUCAUUCUGGACCGUCUUCUCUCUACACUCUGCAUAGGCACAUGGGAUGAUCGCACCUCGUCAUACCCUUGAAGUGGAGAUAUGACUAUGUCACUUGCUUUGGACAGUGAAAUGUGAACAAAAGUGAUUUGCGAGCCAGUACAUGACUAUGAAUGCACUCCCUUCUCCUGCUACAGUGAUUAGGGAAACCACUAUUGACGUGGUGGUACCACAAGACUGAAGCAGCCUGAACUGCUAGUAAUACAUGUAGGAGAGCUGCUCUGGAAGUUUCCCCAAAUCCAC